rnacentral:rRNA from 1 species
UCCUUAUGGAGCGAAGUCUUUGAUUCCCCGCUGCCAAGAAAAGCUUCUAGCGAGAUAAAAGGUGCCUGUACCGCAAACCGACACAGGUAGGCGAGGAGAGAAUCCUAAGGUGUGCGAGAGAACUCUGGUUAAGGAACUCGGCAAAAUGACCCCGUAACUUCGGGAGAAGGGGUGCUUUCUUAACGGAAAGCCGCAGUGAAUAGGCCCAAGCGACUGUUUAGCAAAAACACAGCUCUCUGCGAAGCCGUAAGGCGAAGUAUAGGGGGUGACACCUGCCCGGUGCUGGAAGGUUAAGGAGAGGGGUUAGCGUAAGCGAAGCUCUGAACUGAAGCCCCAGUAAACGGCGGCCGUAACUAUAACGGUCCUAAGGUAGCGAAAUUCCUUGUCGGGUAAGUUCCGACCCGCACGAAAGGUGUAACGAUUUGGGCACUGUCUCAACCAGAGACUCGGUGAAAUUAUAGUACCUGUGAAGAUGCAGGUUACCCGCGACAGGACGGAAAGACCCCGUGGAGCUUUACUGUAGCCUGAUAUUGAAUUUUGGUACAGUUUGUACAGGAUAGGCGGGAGCCAUUGAAACCGGAGCGCUAGCUUCGGUGGAGGCGCUGGUGGGAUACCGCCCUGACUGUAUUGAAAUUCUAACCUACGGGUCUUAUCGACCCGGGAGACAGUGUCAGGUGGGCAGUUUGACUGGGGCGGUCGCCUCCUAAAGUGUAACGGAGGCGCCCAAAGGUUCCCUCAGAAUGGUUGGAAAUCAUUCGUAGAGUGCAAAGGCAUAAGGGAGCUUGACUGCGAGACCUACAAGUCGAGCAGGGACGAAAGUCGGGCUUAGUGAUCCGGUGGUUCCGCAUGGAAGGGCCAUCGCUCAACGGAUAAAAGCUACCCCGGGGAUAACAGGCUUAUCUCCCCCAAGAGUCCACAUCGACGGGGAGGUUUGGCACCUCGAUGUCGGCUCAUCGCAUCCUGGGGCUGUAGUCGGUCCCAAGGGUUGGGCUGUUCGCCCAUUAAAGCGGUACGCGAGCUGGGUUCAGAACGUCGUGAGACAGUUCGGUCCCUAUCCGUCGUGGGCGUAGGAAAUUUGAGAGGAGCUGUCCUUAGUACGAGAGGACCGGGAUGGACGCACCGCUGGUGUACCAGUUGUUCUGCCAAGGGCAUAGCUGGGUAGCUAUGUGCGGAAGGGAUAAGUGCUGAAAGCAUCUAAGCAUGAAGCCCCCCUCAAGAUGAGAUUUCCCAUAGCGUAAGCUAGUAAGAUCCCUGAAAGAUGAUCAGGUUGAUAGGUUCGAGGUGGAAGCAUGGUGACAUGUGGAGCUGACGAAUACUAAUAGAUCG